rnacentral:rRNA from 1 species
AGUGGAUGGGGAGCAACCUAGUUGUGCGUGUGUAAAGGUAGUGCCAAGAAAAGCGAUGAUCAUGUUGAAAAUCAAUUCCCGGUACCCGAAACCGACACAGGUGGGCAAGUAGAGAAUACUAAGGGGCGCGAGGUAACUCUCUCCAAGGAACUCGGCAAAAUGACCCCGUAACUUAGGGAGAAGGGGUGCCACCGAGAGGUGGUCGCAGUGAAGAGGCCCAGGCGACUGUUUAGCAAAAACAUAGGUCUCUGCAAACUCGAAAGAGGAGGUAUAGGGGCUGACGCCUGCCCAGUGCCGGAAGGUUAAAGAAGUUGGUCAGUUUUAGGAUGAAGCUAGCGACUGAAGCCCCGGUGAACGGCGGCCGUAACUAUAACGGUCCUAAGGUAGCGAAAUUCCUUGUCGGGUAAGUUCCGACCCGCACGAAAGGCGUAACGAUCUGGGCGCUGUCUCGGAUAGAGGCUCGGCGAAAUAGGAUUGUCUGUGAAGAUACGGACUACCUGCAUUUGGACAGAAAGACCCUAUGAAGCUUUACUAUAGCUUGGAAUUGUGUUCGGGCUUCCUGUGCGCAGGAUAGGUGGGAGGCGUAGAAGGUAUUCUUGUGGGGAUACUGGAGCCAACGGUGAGAUACCACUCUCAGGAGGCUAGAAUUCUAACUUAAUUAAGGACAGUUUCAGGUGGGUAGUUUGACUGGGGCGGUCGCCUCCAAAAAGGUAACGGAGGCGUACAAAGGUUCCCUCAGACUGGUUGGAAAUCAGUCGAAGAGUGCAAAGGCAGAAGGGAGCUUGACUGCGAGAAGUACAGUUCGAGCAGGGUGGAAACACGGUCUUAGUGAUCCGACGGUGCUGUGUGGAAGGGCCGUCGCUCAACGGAUAAAAGUUACUCUAGGAUAACAGGCUGAUCUCCCCCAAGAGUUCACAUCGACGGGGAGGUUUGGCACCUCGAUGUCGGCUCAUCGCAACCUGGGGCGGAAGUACGUCCCAAGGGUUGGGCUGUUCGCCCAUUAAAGCGGUACGUGAGCUGGGUUCAGAACGUCGUGAGACAGUUCGGUCCAUAUCCGAUGUAGGCGUGAGAAUAUUGAGAGGAGCCUUCCUUAGUACGAGAGGACCGGGAAGGACGCACCGCUGGUGUACCUGUUAUGAUGCCAAUUGUAAACGCAGGGUAGCCAAGUGCGGAGAGGAUAACCGCUGAAAGCAUCUAAGUGGGAAGCCCACCUCAAGAUGAGUAUUCUGGUGUAAGGUCACGGGAAGACGACCCGUAAAUAGGCACGAGGUGGAAGUGCAGAGAUGUAUGAAGCCGAAGUGUACUAAUAGACCGUCGGCUUGACC